GGGCCCGCACAAGCGGUGGAGCAUGUGGUUUAAUUCGAUGCAACGCGAAGAACCUUACCAGGGCUUGACAUACUACGAAUCCUUUUGAAAAAAAGGAGUGCCUUCGGGAAUGUAGAUACAGGUGGUGCAUGGCUGUCGUCAGCUCGUGUCGUGAGAUGUUGGUUAAGUCCCGCAACGAGCGCAACCCUUAUUUUAGUUACCAAUUCGUUGGGUUCUCUAGAAAGACUGCCGGUGACAAACCGGAGGAAGGUGAGGAUGACGUCAAGUCAGCAUGCCCCUUAUGUCCUGGCUACACACGUGCUACAAUGGUGGAGACAAAAGAGUUUGCGAGCCCGCGAGAGUAAG
rnacentral:rRNA from 1 species